GCACCGCUAGUGUAAUGGAUCGCACGCAAGAUUCCGGUUCUUGUAAUGUGGGUUCGACUCCCACGUGGUGCA
rfam:Lactobacillus vini DSM 20605 Scaffold8, whole genome shotgun sequence.